GUGAGGGAGGAGAGAGAGGGAGAGAGGGAGAGGCAGUUUUGCUUUAAGGGAGAAGAAUCCAAAAGGAGUUUUCUCUGGCAGUAGGGGGGGUAUCAAAAAGACAGAUUAUGAACUACGAUGCGCUGCAUUAACAUGUGAAGGCCCUUCCAAGUGUCCUUUCUUCUCCCUAUCCAUCCCCCCUCCUUCUCUGCAUGCAAUUCCCUUCCUCUCUUUCCAUCUCCGUCUCCAUCCCCUUUCGCUCUGCUUUCUGACGUGAUAAUAACGGGU
rnacentral:lncRNA from 1 species